rnacentral:tRNA from 1 species
AGGCUUUUAAUCUAACUAAGAUGAUUGAUUUCGGCUCAAUAUAUCAUGGUAUUAACCCAUGACUGCCUU